GCCUAAGGUAAAAUCGAUGACUGGGAUUAAGUCGUAACAAGGUAGCCGUAGGAGAACCUGCGGCUGGAUCACCUCCUUUCUAAGGA
rnacentral:rRNA from 1 species